UGGGGAAUAUUGGACAAUGGGCGAAAGCCUGAUCCAGCCAUGCCGCGUGUGUGAAGAAGGCCUUCGGGUUGUAAAGCACUUUCAGUGGGGAGAAAGGUCAUUCACCUAAUACGUGAGUGAAUUGAUGUUACCCACAGAAGAAGCACCGGCUAACUCCGUGCCAGCAGCCGCGGUAAUACGGAGGGUGCAAGCGUUAAUCGGAAUUACUGGGCGUAAAGCGCACGUAGGUGGUUUGCUAAGCUAGCCGUGGAAUCCCCGGGCUCAACUUGGGAAUGGCGGUUAGAACUGGCAAGCUAGAGUAGGGUAGAGGGGUGUGGAAUUCCAGGUGUAGCGGUGAAAUGCGUAGAUAUCUGGAGGAACAUCAGUGGCGAAGGCGACACCCUCGACUCAUACUGACACU
rnacentral:rRNA from 1 species